rnacentral:lncRNA from 1 species
UUUGAAGUGAGCAUUUUCCUGUACAGAAACAAAGACUGAAGAUAUGAAAACUCUGAGAAACCUCCUUCUCUCUCAGUUGUACUGUUUGCAAGGCUUCCUGCUCCCUGGAAAACCACAUUCUGAAUUAACCCAAUCGCAUUAAACCAAAUAGAUCAGAAAUCUUCUCUUGGGCUCUGCUAUCAGUUGUCACCAAGACCAGAAUAAUUUUCAAGUCAUCAUAUAAACGAAUCAGAAUAACUGUGACUCAACAAGAACAGCAUAAACCUGGCUGCUCUAAUAUCUACUGUUUCUCAUAGAACCAGUACUCUCAUCAGUUUUACAACAUGGAGAGAUGAGACCCUGCCUGAAUCAAUAGUCUUCUUUAUAUGCAUCAUAUCCAUCUUACAGCUUUGUCCAAAGAGCACCGUGGCACUGGGAUACUUGAACUGGUUAGCUGCACCAGGGGAGAGGAAACAAUGAGAUACAACUUCCGAGACAACAGUGAACUGAAACCUCUCCAUAAGGAAUGCUUGUGGAUCGUGACUUCACCUCAAGCCUACAGGCAUGAAUUGAAG